rnacentral:rRNA from 1 species
AUUGAACGCUGGCGGCAGGCCUAACACAUACAAGUCGAACGAGUGGCGGACGGGUGAGUAAUGUCUGGGAAACUGCCUGAUGGAGGGGGAUAACUACUGGAAACGGUAGCUAAUACCGCAUACCAUGGGAUGUACCCAGUGGGGAUUAGCUAGUAGGUGGGGUAACGGCUCACCUAGGCGACGAUCCGUACCUGGGCUGAGAGGAUGACCAGCCACACUGGAACUGAGACACGGUACAGACUCCUACGGGAGGCAGCAUUGGGGAAUAUUUCACCAUGGGCGAAAGCCUGGUGCAGCCAUGCCGCGUGUAUGAAGAAGGCCUUCGGGUUGUAAAGUACUUUCAGCGGGGAGGCGUUACCCGCAGAAGAAGCACCGGCUAACUCCGUGCCAGCCGCCGCGGUAAUAC